rnacentral:lncRNA from 1 species
GCUAUCUCGAUUUGUUCUCACCCAGCAUUCACCUUGGGAAGGUGGAGAGUGAUAUGCAUCUCAAGGUUGAAUUGAGAUCUUCAUCUGGGGCAGCCACAGAGAAAAUCAGAGGUCUUGGAAUUUGAUGUCCCUAGG